rnacentral:tRNA from 7 species
AAAAUCCGUUGGUUUCAUGGUACCGUGAGGGUUCGAAUCCCUCUAUCCCCA